UACGAAGGGGGCUAGCGUUGCUCGGAAUCACUGGGCGUAAAGCGCGUGUAGGCGGCUUUGCAAGUCGGAUGUGAAAUCCCGAGGCUCAACCUCGGGUCUGCAUCCGAUACUGCCCGGCUAGAGGUAGGUAGGGGAGAUCGGAAUUCCGUGGUGUAGCGGUGAAAUGCGCAGAUAUCAGGAGGAACACCGGUGGCGAAGGCGGAUCUCUGGGCCUUACCUGACGCUCAGGCGCGAAAGCUAGGGGAGCGAACUGG
rnacentral:rRNA from 1 species